rnacentral:rRNA from 1 species
GAUGAACGCUGGCGGCGUGCCUAAUACAUGCAAGUCGAGCGAACAGACGAGGAGCUUGCUCCUCUGACGUUAGCGGCGGACGGGUGAGUAACACGUGGAUAACCUACCUAUAAGACUGGGAUAACUUCGGGAAACCGGAGCUAAUACCGGAUAAUAUAUUGAACCGCAUGGUUCAAUAGUGAAAGACGGUUUUGCUGUCACUUAUAGAUGGAUCCGCGCCGCAUUAGAUAGUUGGUAAGGUAACGGCUUACCAAGGCAACGAUGCGUAGCCGACCUGAGAGGGUGAUCGGCCACACUGGAACUUAGACACGGUCCAGACUCCUACGGGAGGCAGCAGUAGGGAAUCUUCCGGAAUGGGCGGAAGCCUGACGGAGCAACGCCGCGUGAGUGAUGAAGGUCUUCGGAUCGUAAAACUCUGUUAUUAGGGAAGAACAAAUGUGUAAGUAACUAUGCACGUCUUGACGGUACCUAAUCAGAAAGCCACGGCUAACUACGUG